ACGUAUUUUGUAAAAUUGUGAAGAAAAAAAAGAAAAAAAAUUCUGUUCUUAUCAGUUUAAUAUCUGAUACGUCCUCUACCCGGGGACUACAUAUUAAAUUGAUUUUUGGAUCACGGAGCUGGAGCCGGGGCUUGCUCUGUCCACUCCACGCAUCGGCCUGGUAUUGCAGUGUCUCCAGGAACGGUGUGCUUCCC
rnacentral:snRNA from 12 species